rnacentral:tRNA from 1 species
GGGCGGAUAGCUCAGUUGGGGGAGCGUCGGCCUUACAAGCCGAAGGUCACAGGUUCAAGCCCUGUUCCGCCCA